UGGAGCCAAAGCCGCUUCUUUUGAAAAACGCAUCCGUCUCUCUAUCUCUGUUUCUCUCUCUCUCUCUCGAUCAAUUGCGAACUCCAUUGUUGUUACAGAGCAAGGUUGAAUUGGGAAUUUUGAUUCCAUAAUGAUCAGUUCUGAAAUAAACAAAAAUGAGUUGGGCAGCAGUGGGACUUUCGUGGCUUCUAACCGUAGCCACUCGCCUCUAAUAAAAAAGAUGCCGCUAAGAGAUGUCCAGAAUGAUAAUAGAAUUUCAGAAGGUUCCCGUGUCCUGGAGGGAAGACCCAUUGCCGAUGCAACCAAAGUUAUUGGAACCAAGAAACUCACAACUGAGUGCCCAUUAAGCCCUCAUUUUGACACUUCCAUGAGCAAAAAUGGUAAAAAUGGGCAUCUUAUGGCUCGCCAGAUAAAGUUUAAAUCAGAAUCAGGCAAAGGAAGAAUUCAGAACAUUAUGGACACAAGUGCUGAAUUUCCAUCAAAACAAACUCAGAUAAGAGACAACAAUCUGUAUUUCACUUCUGUAUUUAGGCCAAAUCUUAUGAGUUCCAUGAUGACCUUUCCCCAUGGCGGACCUUCAGUUCCCAUUUCUCUUGGGAAGCCUGGAAAUGGCUUUUCUGCUGCUGAAUUCAAUGGCAUUAAAUUCAGCUCAGAGGUCUGUCAUCCAUUUGAUCCUACAGUAACUGAUGAUCAACACAGACAGGAAAGGUUUCUUCAUUUGCAGACGUUCUUGAAGCAAUGCAAUGAAUCUAGUCGGGAUUAUAUCCAGAUCUUAUCUUUUAUUCUCUGUAACAUCGCCAGUGCUUCAAAGUUUGCCACCUGCUGAACUGAGCAGACAUGCAGUUGAGUUGGAGAAAAGAGCAAUGCAGCUAACAAUUGAAGAAGGAAAACAGCUGCAACGGAUGAAAGCUCUAAACGUCUUGGUGAAGCCGGACCCAGGGAACAGCCCGAGCCCAUUGCUGACUGCUCAAGCUCAACAACCCCUAUCUAAUAAAUGAAACGUGAGAAUGGCAAUCUGUUAACAGUUUGGUGAUUGACGAGCAAACACGUUUUGGGUCCUGCCCCAACUUCUUCUUGGGGACAAUUGGACAUGAAUUUCCUCCUCAUUUUUUCUGCUUACAGGCUGCUUCUGGGGGGGGGGG